GACGUAGGGUGCGAGCGUUGUCCGGAUUUAUUGGGCGUAAAGAGCUCGUAGGCGGCUCGUCGCGUCGACCGUGAAAACCCACAGCUUAACCGUGGGCUUGCGGUUGAUACGGGCGGGCUAGAGUUCGGUAGGGGAGACUGGAAUUCCUGGUGUAGCGGUGAAAUGCGCAGAUAUCAGGAGGAACACCGGUGGCGAAGGCGGGACUCUGGGCCGAUACUGACGCUGAGGAGCGAAAGCGUGGGGAGCAAACAGG
rnacentral:rRNA from 1 species